UUUGGGCUUGGGAGCUCAGCUCACUGUGCACUGCCGCGGACCCACACCCAAUACGAUCAACCAAAGAAAAGAAGCAGCUUGGGGUCCGUCCGUCUCUCCAUUCUGCACGGCGGCGGCGGCGGCGAUUCAUGGACACGGGCGAGCUCUUCAACCCAGACUGCGGCGGGGCGCACGGCGCCGGCUGCGACUGCGGGGACUGCGAGGAGUGGAGGCGCUACUUCUACUGGAACCACGACCACGGCGACGGCGGCACCAACAAGUUCCUCCUCUUCGCCUCCCACGACAAAGAUAAUCUGAUAGUGUGAAAUCAAUGCGCACAAACGGUGAAACCUAUAUCUGACUCUUAACCUGAUGAGGACAUGACUACCUUGGAUACGACCAAAAAUAUUGCAUACAUGCAUAUUUGUCAGGUGAUUUUUAGUGCAAACUAUUCAAUAAUCUAUUUAUGUUAUCCAGAACAAAAAUACUUCACACACUUUU